rnacentral:rRNA from 1 species
CCUACGGGUGGCAGCAGUGAGGAAUAUUGGUCAAUGGACGAGAGUCUGAACCAGCCAAGUAGCGUGAAGGAUGACUGCCCUAUGGGUUGUAAACUUCUUUUAUAUGGGAAUAAAACGUUCCACGUGUGGGAUUUUGUAUGUACCAUAUGAAUAAGGAUCGGCUAACUCCGUGCCAGCAGCCGCGGUAAUACGGAGGAUCCGAGCGUUAUCCGGAUUUAUUGGGUUUAAAGGGAGCGUAGGUGGAUUGUUAAGUCAGUUGUGAAAGUUUGCGGCUCAACCGUAAAAUUGCAGUUGAAACUGGCAGUCUUGAGUACAGUAGAGGUGGGCGGAAGUCGUGGUGGAGCGGUGAAAUGCUUAGAUAUCACGAAGAACUCCGAUUGCGAAGGCAGUUCACUGGACUGCAACUGACACUGAGGCUCGAAAGUGUGGGUAUCAAACAGGAUUAGAUACCCGUGUAGUC